AUGGGUAAGGAGAAGACUCACAUCAACAUCGUGGUCAUUGGCCAUGUCGACUCUGGCAAGUCGACCACCACUGGCCAUCUGAUCUACAAGCUUGGAGGUAUCGACAAGCGUGUGAUCGAGAGGUUCGAGAAGGAAGCCGCUGAGAUGAACAAGAGGUCCUUCAAGUACGCCUGGGUGCUUGACAAGCUGAAGGCCGAGCGCGAGAGGGGUAUCACCAUUGAUAUUGCCCUGUGGAAGUUUGAGACCACCAAGUACUACUGCACCGUCAUUGAUGCCCCUGGUCACCGUGACUUCAUCAAGAACAUGAUCACCGGUACCUCCCAGGCUGACUGUGCUGUGCUCAUCAUCGACUCCACCACUGGUGGUUUUGAGGCUGGUAUCUCGAAGGACGGCCAGACCCGUGAGCACGCCCUCCUUGCUUUCACUCUUGGAGUGAAGCAGAUGAUCUGCUGCUGCAACAAGAUGGAUGCCACCACUCCCAAGUACUCGAAGGCCCGUUAUGAGGAAAUCGUCAAGGAAGUCUCUUCGUACCUGAAGAAGGUCGGCUACAACCCUGAGAAGGUUCCCUUCGUUCCCAUCUCUGGGUUUGAGGGUGACAACAUGAUUGAGAGGUCCACCAACCUUGACUGGUACAAGGGCCCUACCCUUCUUGAGGCUCUUGACCAGAUCAAUGAGCCCAAGAGGCCCUCAGACAAGCCCCUGCGUCUUCCCCUUCAGGAUGUUUACAAGAUUGGUGGCAUUGGAACUGUGCCUGUUGGACGCGUUGAGACUGGUGUCAUCAAGCCUGGUAUGGUUGUUACCUUUGGCCCCACUGGUCUGACAACUGAGGUCAAGUCCGUUGAGAUGCACCACGAGUCCCUCCUGGAGGCGCUUCCUGGUGACAAUGUCGGCUUCAACGUGAAGAACGUUGCUGUCAAGGAUCUGAAGCGUGGGUUUGUUGCAUCCAACUCUAAGGAUGACCCUGCCAAGGAGGCAGCCAACUUCACCUCUCAGGUCAUCAUCAUGAACCACCCUGGUCAGAUCGGCAACGGCUACGCCCCAGUGCUGGACUGCCACACCUCCCACAUUGCUGUCAAGUUUGCUGAGCUGGUGACCAAGAUUGACAGGCGAUCUGGUAAGGAGAUUGAGGCUGCGCCCAAGUUCCUGAAGAACGGUGACGCUGGUAUUGUGAAGAUGAUUCCCACCAAGCCCAUGGUUGUGGAGACCUUCGCCACCUACCCACCUCUUGGCCGCUUCGCUGUGCGUGACAUGAGACAAACGGUUGCUGUUGGUGUCAUCAAGGGCGUUGAGAAGAAGGACCCCACCGGCGCCAAGGUUACCAAGGCUGCCAUCAAGAAGAAAUGA
rnacentral:rRNA from 1 species